rnacentral:rRNA from 1 species
GAUGAACGCUGGCGGCGUGCCUAAUACAUGCAAGUCGAGCGAACGGACGAGAAGCUUGCUUCUCUGAUGUUAGCGGCGGACGGGUGAGUAACACGUGGAUAACCUACCUAUAAGACUGGGAUAACUUCGGGAAACCGGAGCUAAUACCGGAUAAUAUUUUGAACCGCAUGGUUCAAAAGUGAAAGACGGUCUUGCUGUCACUUAUAGAUGGAUCCGCGCUGCAUUAGCUAGUUGGUAAGGUAACGGCUUACCAAGGCAACGAUGCAUAGCCGACCUGAGAGGGUGAUCGGCCACACUGGAGCUGAGACACGGUCCAGACUCCUACGGGAGGCAGCAGUAGGGAAUCUUCCGCAAUGGGCGAAAGCCUGACAGAGCAACGCCGCGUGAGUGAUGAAGGUCUUCGGAUCGUAAAGCUCUGUUAUUAGGGAAGAACAUAUGUGUAAGUAACUGUGCACAUCUUGACGGUACCUAAUCAAGAAGCCACGGCUAACUACGUG